CUUCACGUUGGAGGGGAGUACCCCACAAACAACGUGGAUCGUCAGCACGUGACUUACAGAACUUCGGUUCUGUGGUGAUCCGGUCCCGUUGGGUUAGCUUUGAGUUUUUCGAUUCCGUGAACCGUCGAAAAGCAUGAAGUUAACCGGGGGAGACCUCCGGCUCUAUU
rnacentral:sRNA from 1 species